rnacentral:rRNA from 1 species
UACAGAGGGGCAAGCGUUAUUCGGAAUUAUUGGGCGUAAAGGGCGCGUAGGCGGCUUGGUCAAGUGGAAGGUGAAAUCCCUCGGCUUAACCGAGGAACUGCCCUCCAAACUGCUUGGCUUGAGACCGGGAGAGGUGAGUGGAAUUCCCAGUGUAGCGGUGAAAUGCGUAGAUAUUGGGAGGAACACCAGUGGCGAAGGCGGACUCGACUGGACCGGUACGUCGACGCUGAUGCGCGAAAGCGUGGGAGCAACAGGGAUAAGAACCCGGUA